rnacentral:lncRNA from 1 species
UUGAAGCCACCACGUAACCUUUCUACUGGUGCAAGAGUGUAGAAAGUGAAGAUCCGACUUGGAUUUCUGUUCUCAAAUUCACUGGAUUAAUAACAAAGGGAAGGGGCUGUUCUCUUCAUUCUGGAGAAGGCGAUCUCUGAAAAUCUCUCACUGAUGAGAGAUCAGAGCAAAAAAGGUAAGAAGUUGUCCAAGGAAAUGACCACAUGUAGGAGAUCAUAGCCUUUUACGUUGGGUAGUAAUUUUAGAGGCAGAUAGGAUGAGAUCUGCCUCCAGGCAAGCUUCCUGCACAGAUAACUAAAUAAGUAAUUCUAUUAUGAAAUUCUUUCUUCCUGUUUAUGCAGGUACUCUGUCUAUCUUUAGAAAAGUUUAAUGUUUAUGCUUAAGAAAACAAGAAAAAUCUCUUAAUAUCAAAUAAAAUGAGUGUAUUUACUCUUCUUCCCUCUGCUGCAAAAUCCCUAUCAGCUUCUGACUUCAUUUUUCCAAAAUUCAGAUUGCUUUAGGUUGGACUGCUCCAGCUUCAUGGAGGAUCUUGGAUUCUGAAAUGGAUUCUGCUCUUGUGUACUACUCCAGAAAAUGUUUCUUCUAGAGAUAUGAAUAUGCUAUUGAUGCGCUUCAAAUCUAGUAGAAUUUAGUGGAGUUUAAGAAUUAAUUACACUUGCAGCAAGAAACUUUGUUUUCCAUAGAAGAUAGCUUCAGAGCACACUAAUCACAAAUGUGGCAAUCCUUACAGAAAUGAGUGAUUUUCAUUACAGCAUCAUAAAAUAAUUAUGUUUUGGAAACACAAAUUCAGAGCAGUUGCAAACAAAGAUGCCGCAACAAUGUGAAUGGAAGCCAACAAGAAAGCUUUAAUUUUUACUGUUAAUGCUUAACAAUGAUUUUAAUUAUGUAUUUAUUUGGGGGGACUGUUCAGCCAGGCUCCUUCCAGCGGAGCCCGGAGGCAGCGGGCACUGAUGGAGCACAGGCGAUCCCCCCAGCCCCAGCAGCACGUCUGAGCCCUGCAGUGCCACAGCCCUGGCCCAGAGCUUGGGGGGCUCCUUGGGGAUGUCCCAAAGCCGCCUGGAUGUGGGGCUGGGCACCCUGCUUGUGGAUCCUGCUGGGGCAGGGGGGGAACGCUAAGGUCCUUGGCCACCUCGGCCAGCCUGGGGCUCUGCGCUAUGCUGGGGGGGCUGCAGGAGCACAUCUGCAGCCAACAAAUCUUUCCCGGGUUUGUAGUCCAAUUUGCCAAUGACAUAAAGAUUCACUCUGCAGCAAGAAAUAUGUUUAUGAAGUUUGAAAGGAUUAGCUAGGCAUCUUUUUGCAAUUCAAUAAGUAUUUUAUGAUCAAUUUUAGCUAACACCAGCAUUUCUGUAAGCAAUUGGUCUCUGCUUUUGACAAUGCUUUUGCUGGGUUUCGCUGCUAUGAGAGAAAGCUGAAGGGUCUUAGUACCUGAUGGGGAUUAGAUCGCUGAGAAUUGCAAUCAGUUUCUGAAAACUACAACUUCUGAUGAAAUUCCCAAAGCAUAAGCAGCGAUGUAUUUAGCCAGUGUAAAUCAGGGAAGUUCCACUAGAUUUAGUAAAGCUAGCUUACAUCACUUGAAGGUGUCAGCUUUUUCAGAUGCUUUUGAGAAAAUGGCAAAAGGGUUUUUGUGUGCAUGUGUGUUUCUGAGCCUUUGGGAUUAUCAACAAAAUAGGCCAACCAGGAAUAAUAAUAAAAAAAUAAAAACGAAGCA